rnacentral:lncRNA from 1 species
ACUGUGCAGUGACACUAUCCACUGAGACUGGCCUAAGAGCCAGGAAUAUUGGGCAGUCUCGUGGGAGUUUCAUUGGAGUUUCAUUCGCAUUAAAUAGGUUGUCAUAUAGAUAUUUUGGAUGACAUGACAAUAUAUUUAAGAAGAGAUAAAAGAAAUAGGUUUCAUCUAGAUAAAACUCUAUUGGCACGAUUACCAACACUCUAUGAGUCUUAAAAUUAAAUACCUAUACAAUUAUGGAAUGAAACUCUCCACUAAAAGUGAGUGUUUCAUCCAAGUUUCAUUUUAUUUCACAUGACAUGACAAUAUUAAAAACAACGCUAUAAAACUCUCUGCUCACACUGGCGAAACCAAAUACUGCUUGAUGGCGCAUGGCGGAGUUCCAGCGCGUUUCGUUGCACUAGCAUGCAGUCGCUUUUGCAUCCUCUUGGCCCGCUAACCAAUCGAAUGAUUUUUGCAAUCCGUGGAGCAUGGACUGGCCGGAUACAACAAACCAAUCACGCUCUAGUGAACUGGAUGCUAAAAAAAAGGAAAGGAGCAAAAGGACGCAGAAAAGAAACCAUACCAAGCUUGAGGCCUCAUUCUGCUCAGAGUAAAUUUUAUUUCUAAUCUGAACUAGGUUUCCCCCUUUUUUUUAAAAAAAAAAACUUCACCGGAGGAGAGUGAGUGUCUCACCGAAUUCCGUUCCAUUGAUUCCGACAAACCGAUGUACGGAAUUGCAACCCAGCAUUGUGCACCCAACAUCCAAAUCUAAAACUUCUUCUCCUUCUUCGUUUUCCUUUGCACCAAAUCCAAAGAGGCAAAGACCCAUUCUUCAAAAAAAAAAAAGGACCCAUUACUAUUUGUUGGAGUUCUUGGACGACUUGCACUACAUGCCUCCUUUGAAUGCCACAGCUACCAAAAUGGGCUCAUAAUAACCAACAGGACUACAGGACCCACCCACCACCGACAAACUACACUCCAUCCGUAGCCCAUAGCCCAUAGGAUCACCAACAUGAACUUCAGCUGAAAUAAGCUGCCCUUCUGGCGUUCACCCCACUCAGUCACUCACCGAAUGAACUGCACCGUUCAAAACUGGCGGCCACAGAGCAGUAGCAACGUCCCUAUAAACUAUAUGUCAGGCUCCGGCAGGUCCACGAGAGAUCACAUGGCAUCUCAAUCCCAUUCUCAGGGCCAAUCCAAUCACCUUUCACGCAAGUACAGCUGCUGGCCUCGCUGCGUCCUUUAUGCUACCUCCCUGAUUGCA